CCUCUAGUUCCGGACUGUGAAGUGGAAAACUUUAGAGCAAUUUGGCCGAUCGAGUGAGUCAGCCUCGAGGAAGUUAAUUAGCAUGCACCAGACCCGAUUCGGGGGAUUGACUUGUUCCGAUGGCUUAUCAAUACAGUUAGUACAUACACAAUUAAGUCGCUUGUCUAGUCGGCGUAUAACGUGCGUGCCCCACACAUCUGCUAAUUGAAAUGUGUCCGGUGUAAGCACUCAAAGUGCCUUAUAUCGAUGUGGCCUGACGAAGCGGGGAUUCUGGUUAACGCCAUCCGGAACAGGCCACAUGAUAUACAUGGGAACUACAAGCCAGAAGCCGACACUCAAACGUCGAACGGCAACUCAAAGUAUCGGCAAUAGCUGUAAACUACAUAUACCUAAUGAUCUCCAGCGGGAGUAUCACUAUUUGCCAUUUGUAUAUAGCUGCUCGUUAAUUGUGGACAACCUGUUGAGCAUAAAUGCCGGCAAUCGAACAAAGUGGGAUAGCCUGUACUACGGCUGGCACUAUUUCAAUUUGCAUUUUGUGCGUCGAUCUGGCGAUUGCGAUGUCGAUCAAUCAAUCAGCCCCCGAUGACCUUCACACUGACCGUGGCCAGGGGGUGGGAUGGGGAUGGUAAUGGGAUGAGUAUGUCGACGAGCUGUGGCGCCAGG